rnacentral:tRNA from 1 species
GGGCAGGUGAUCCGAUUGGUAAUGGUGGUUCUCUGUAAAAGAAUUGGUUUUGUCCGUAAAAGGUUCGAUUCCUUUACUGCUCA